GAAGCAUGAAAGUGAAAGUGUGCAGUUUGUUAUCCAGACUCCAUUCUGAGAAAACGACACAGAGAUGUGACGACUGAAGAUAGAAGCAGGUCAGUUAUUCCAGACUCCAUUUUGUGUUAACGGCACAGAGAGGUGACGACUGAAGACUGAAGCAGGUCAGUGUUCCUGUUUGACCUCUCAGACUGACUUCAGAUCAGAAGAUGAUUGACUGUGUGGAGGAAGAGGAGGACAGAGCAGAGUCUCUAGUCUCUGGCCGUCAGUCUAUGAAGAGUGAUCGGUCUAAAGGUGAUCCUCCAGUCUUCAGUGAUGAACCUGGACCCUCAGAGUCAAAAGUUCAGUCCAGACGGAGAGCAGAGUCUCCAGUACCCAGCUGUCUGUCUGUGAAGAGUGACUGGUCCAUGAUGAAUCCUCCAGCCUUCAGUAAUGAACCUGGACCCUCAGAGUCAAAACUGACUUCAGAUCAGAAGAUGAUUGACUGUGUGGAGGAAGAGGAGGACAGAGCAGAGUCUCUAGUCUCUGGCCGUCAGUCUAUGAAGAGUGAUCGGUCUAAAGGUGAUCCUCCAGUCUUCAGUGAUGAACCUGGACCCUCAGAGUCAAAAGUUCAGUCCAGACGGAGAGCAGAGUCUCCAGUACCCAGCUGUCUGUCUAUGAAGAGUGACUGGUCCAUGGGGAAACCUCCAGGCUUCAGUAAUGAACCUGGACCCUCAGAGUCAAAAGUUCAGUCCAGACAGAGAGCAGAGUCUCCAGUACCCAGCUGUCUGUCUAUGAAGAGUGACCGGGUCCAUGUCGGAACCUCCAUUCUUCAGUAAUGAACCUGGACCCUCAGACACAAAAGAGAAGAAGAGGAGUCCUGCUUCUGUGGACGAGCUGAUGUCCAGAUCCACAACAAGACCUGGACCUCAGACAGCCAGUCAGACCAGAACAAGACCUGGACCUCAGACAGCCAGUCAGACCAGCACUGUACAAAAUAGAGGUCUGCAGGAGGUUGUAGAUGAACAUAAGAUCAGUCUGAGGAGGAGAU